rnacentral:rRNA from 1 species
UACGAAGGGGGCUAGCGUUGCUCGGAAUCACUGGGCGUAAAGGGUGCGUAGGCGGGUCUUUAAGUCAGGGUGAAAUCCUGGAGCUCAACUCCAGAACUGCCUUUGAUACUGAAGAUCUUGAGUUCGGGAGAGGUGAGUGGAACUGCGAGUGUAGAGGUGAAAUUCGUAGAUAUUCGCAAGAACACCAGUGGCGAAGGCGGCUCACUGGCCCGAUACUGACGCUGAGGCACGAAAGCGUGGGAGCAAACAGGG